rfam:Bacillus subtilis subsp. subtilis str. 168 complete genome.
GGGGCCAUAGCUCAGCUGGGAGAGCGCUACGCUGGCAGCGUAGAGGUCAGGGGUUCGAGCCCCCUUGGCUCCA